UACGGAGGGUGCGAGCGUUGUCCGGAAUUACUGGGCGUAAAGGGCGCGUAGGCGGUCAGGUCAGUCCCGUGUGAAAUCCCUCGGCUCAACUGAGGAACUGCACGGGAAACUGCCUGGCUUGAGUUCGGGAGAGGGAAGCGGAAUUCCGGGUGUAGCGGUGAAAUGCGUAGAUAUCCGGAGGAACACCGGUGGCGAAGGCGGCUUCCUGGACCGACACUGACGCUGAGGCGCGAAAGCUAGGGGAGCAAACGGG
rnacentral:rRNA from 1 species